rnacentral:rRNA from 1 species
UAGGGAAUCUUCGGCAAUGGACGAAAGUCUGACCGAGCAACGCCGCGUGAGUGAAGAAGGUUUUCGGAUCGUAAAACUCUGUUGUUAGAGAAGAACAAGGACGUUAGUAACUGAACGUCCCCUGACGGUAUCUAACCAGAAAGCCACGGCUAACUACGUGCCAGCAGCCGCGGUAAUACGUAGGUGGCAAGCGUUGUCCGGAUUUAUUGGGCGUAAAGCGAGCGCAGGCGGUUUCUUAAGUCUGAUGUGAAAGCCCCCGGCUCAACCGGGGAGGGUCAUUGGAAACUGGGAGACUUGAGUGCAGAAGAGGAGAGUGGAAGUCCAUGUGUAGCGGUGAAAUGCGUAGAUAUAUGGAGGAACACCGGUGGCGAAGGCGGCUCUCUGGUCUGUAACUGACGCUGAGGCUCGAAAGCGUGGGGAGCAAACAGG